rnacentral:rRNA from 1 species
UACGUAGGGGGCUAGCGUUGUCCGGAAUCAUUGGGCGUAAAGAGCGUGUAGGCGGCCCGGUAAGUCCGCUGUGAAAGCCCGGGGCUCAACCCCGGGUCGGCCGUGCGAACUGUCGAGCUGGAGCACUGUAGAGGCAGGUGGAAUUCCGGGUGUAGCGGUGGAAUGCGUAGAGAUCCGGAAGAACACCGGUGGCGAAGGCGGCCUGCUGGGCAGUGGCUGACGCUGAGGCGCGACAGCGUGGGGAGCAAACAGG